CAGCAGCAGCCGCGGUAAUACGAAGGGUGCAAGCGUUAAUCGGAAUUACUGGGCGUAAAGCGUGCGUAGGCGGUGAGUUAAGUCUGCUGUGAAAUCCCCGGGCUCAACCUGGGAAUGGCAGUGGAUACUGGCUCGCUAGAGUGUGUCAGAGGAUGGUGGAAUUCCCGGUGUAGCGGUGAAAUGCGUAGAGAUCGGGAGGAACAUCAGUGGCGAAGGCGGUCAUCUGGGACAACACUGACGCUGAGGCACGAAAGCGUGGGGAGCAAACAGGAUUAGAUACCCGGGUAGUCCCUGUCUCUUAUAC
rnacentral:rRNA from 1 species